UUGAAUCGGAGCGUAGCGAGGGAUCUAUUAGUUUUACCGUGAUGUUUGUAAUUUUUUUUUCUGUCUGUAAACAACUUUUCUAUCAGAAAACUUGCUUCGAAAUAUAGACAGUAGCCAGUGGCGGAUUUACGGAUUGGCGGGAUCCAGACGGACUGGACAUCCCCUCCAGACACCGAUAUAAUUUCAAUAAAAUAUCGUCCAAAAAAAGGGGCAUCUAUUAACAGAAAUACCUUUUAAAUACAUAUGAUUUUUCAGGGCCCCAUCCAGAAAAAUGUUGAAAAUCUGCUACUGACUGCAGUACCUUUUCCGAAAGAGAAUUUUCUCUCUUUGAUUGCAUC